AGUGAACGCUGGCGGUAGGCCUAACACAUGCAAGUCGAACGGCAGCACAGAGGAGCUUGCUCCUUGGGUGGCGAGUGGCGGACGGGUGAGGAAUACAUCGGAAUCUACUCUGUCGUGGGGGAUAACGUAGGGAAACUUACGCUAAUACCGCAUACGACCUACGGGUGAAAGCAGGGGAUCUUCGGACCUUGAGCGAUUGAAUGAGCCGAGGUCGGAUUAGCUAGUUGGCGGGGUAAAGGCCCACCAAGGCGAGGAUCCGUAGCUGGUCUGAGAGGAUGAUCAGCCACACUGGAACUGAGACACGGUCCAGACUCCUACGGGAGGCAGCAGUGGGGAAUAGUGGACAAUGGGCGCAAGCCUGAUCCAGCCAUACCGCGUGGGUGAAGAAGGCCUUCGGGUUGUAAAGCCCUUUUGUUGGGAAAGAAAUCCAUCUGGUUAAUACCCGGGUGGGAUGACGGUACCCAAAGAAUAAGCACCGGCUAACUUCGUGCCAGCAGCCGCCGUAA
rnacentral:rRNA from 1 species